AUUGAAUGCUGGCGGCAUGCCUUACACAUGCAAGUCGAACGGCAGCACGGGAGCAAUCCUGGUGGCGAGUGGCGAACGGGUGAGUAAUAUAUCGGAACGUGCCCAGUCGUGGGGAUAACGUAGCGAAAGCUACGCUAAUACCGCAUACGAUCUAUGGAUGAAAGCGGGGGAUCGCAAGACCUCGCGCGAUUGGAGCGGCCGAUAUCAGAUUAGGUAGUUGGUGAGGUAAAGGCUCACCAAGCCAACGAUCUGUAGCUGGUCUGAGAGGACGACCAGCCACACUGGAACUGAGACACGGUCCAGACUCCUACGGGAGGCAGCAGUGGGGAAUUUUUGGACAAUGGACGCAAGUCUGAUCCAGCCAUUCCGCGUGCAGGAUGAAGGCCCUCGGGUUGUAAACUGCUUUUGUACGGAACGAAAGGUUUGUCUUAAUACGAUGAGCUCAUGACGGUACCGUAAGAAUAAGCACCGGCUAACUACGU
rnacentral:rRNA from 1 species